UACGAAGGGUGCAAGCGUUACUCGGAAUUACUGGGCGUAAAGCGUGCGUAGGUGGUUUGUUAAGUCUGUUGUGAAAGCCCCGGGCUCAACCUGGGAAUGGCAAUGGAUACUGACAGGCUAGAGUGCGGUAGAGGGUAGUGGAAUUCCCGGUGUAGCGGUGAAAUGCGUAGAGAUCGGGAGGAACACCAGUGGCGAAGGCGGCUACCUGGACCAGCACUGACACUGAGGCACGAAAGCGUGGGGAGCAAACAGG
rnacentral:rRNA from 1 species